GAAAUCUCCAUCAUGGCCUGGGCCCCUCUCCUCAUUUCUCUCCUCACUUACUGCACAGGAUCCUGGGCCCAGUCUGUGCUGACUCAGCCGCCCUUAGUGUCUGGGAACCUGGGCGAACGGGUCACCCUCUCCUGCACUGGCAGCAGCACCAAUAUUGGUGGAUACUAUGCACACUGGUACCAGCAGCUCCAAGGAACAUCUCCUAAACUCCUCAUCUAUAAUAAUAACCAGCGACCCUCAGGGAUUCCAGACAGGUUCUCAGGUUCCAACUCUGGCAACUCAGCCUCCCUGACCAUCACUGGGCUGCAGGCAGAGGACGAGGCUAUUUAUUACUGCCACUCCUAUGACAGCAGCCAGAGUGCUCACACAGUGCUCCAGGCCUGCAGGGAAGUGAGAUAA